rnacentral:rRNA from 1 species
GAUGAACGCUGGCGGCGCGCCUAACACAUGCAAGUCGAACGAUUAAAGCACCUUCGGGUGUGUAUAAAGUGGCGAACGGCUGAGUAACACGUGGGCAACCUGCCCCUUUCAUUGGGAUAGCCACGGGAAACCGUGGAUAAUACCGAAUACUUCGAGACUUCCGCAUGGAAGACUCGAGAAAGCUCCGGCGGUGAGGGAUGGGCCCGCGGCCUGUUAGCUUGUUGGUGGGGUAACGGCCUACCAAGGCAAUGAUGGGUAGCUGGGUUGAGAGACCGACCAGCCAGAUUGGGCCUGAGACACGGCCCAGAAUCCUACGGGAGGCAGCAGUGGGGAAUCUUGCACAAUGGGCGAAAGCCUGAUGCAGAGACGCCGCGUGCGGGAUGAAGGCCUUCGGGUUGUAAACCGAUUUCAGCAGGGACGAGGCGAAAGUGACGGUACCUGAAGAAGAAGCCCCGGCUAACUACGUG